rnacentral:rRNA from 1 species
GAUGAACGCUGGCGGCGUGCCUAACACAUGCAAGUCGAGCGAUCUUCUUCGGAAGAGAGCGGCGGACGGGUGAGUAACGCGUGGGUAACCUGCCCUGUACACACGGAUAACAUACCGAAAGGUAUGCUAAUACGAGAUAAUAUGCUUUUAUCGCAUGGUAGAAGUAUCAAAGCUCUGGCGGUACAGGAUGGACCCGCGUCUGAUUAGCUAGUUGGUGAGGUAACGGCUCACCAAGGCGACGAUCAGUAGCCGACCUGAGAGGGUGAUCGGCCACAUUGGAACUGAGACACGGUCCAA